rnacentral:rRNA from 1 species
GUAGGUGACCUGCGGAAGGAUCGUAG